GAACAAGAUGGCCGAUGCUGGAGCGUCAACACAGAGGUCACUGGGUGUGUUGGGGGAAAAGCGAGGCUGUUGGGGGUGAUGGCGCGAGGGUUUGGGGUUCACGCACACACACACACACACACUCCCACGCACUCUGGGGUUUGUUUUCGUGCAGGUGUCGUCCGCUCGCACACGGAGGGAAGCGAAGGUGGCGGUGAAAACAAGGAGCUGCCUUCCAGUCUGCAAAAGUUUUCCAAACACAUCAACUGCAACUGAAAACGGUUUGCGGACACAAAAUGGCGGCGCUGGCUGGGGGUGCUUUGGUGCCACUGUAGUGCUGCAGGAGGGAUGCGACGCUCGAGCCUCCUGGUUUUUGCUGCAAAAAGAACAUUUUUCCUCCUCCAGUCCUUCUGCCGUCGAGCCCGAGCGGAUCCAGGUUUUGUGAGGUUUCAGUCCCGCUGUGCUGUUUCGUGUUGGGCAGAAGAAAUCCAGAUUACGUCAGGAGCUCACCUCGACGUCUACGUGGUUCUCAAACGCCUUCUGGUCAACGGGGGCAAAAAAGAUUUCAAAUUUUAAAUCUAUCCACCGCUUUAAUCAAUCAUGAACAAAGCCUGCUCCGUCCACGGCGCCUCCGUGUGAGUGUACUUGAAUGACCCAGCACAGAGGAGCCCACCUCCCUGCCCCACGCUGCCCCCUGGAUGUACAGAAGAGAACAAGCGUUGCUGGGACCUGGAGCACAGAAGCUGCCGCCUGGUUUUAUUUCAGACUUCAUGUUCUUUGUGUUUCCAGAGAAGAGCACGGAGCUGGUUUCCACUCUGCUGCACAUCCACACUGGGAGCUGCCCAGUACGAACACACGCUGUGCCUUUAAUAAUUACCGUCCACUUCCAUGCAUGAUAUUAUUGUAUGUAUUAUUGUAGGGUCUACCUUAAAAAAAUAAAGAGCCUCAAUAUAAAAAAAAAUGAAUUGAAUAUUAUGAUCUUAUAGCUGAUAUCUGUAAUUAUAGUUUAAUAAGAGGUAUUUUGUGAAUAAAUAAAAC